UGGUAACUCUAAAGCCUCAAUGUUAACAUUUACUACUGACAAUGACUUCCACACUGAUGCACACUGGAAAAAGAAAUUUUUCAAAUGCAACAAUUUUCCUUUGUGUAUUCUCUUUGCUGUUAUUGAAGAAUCUGUGUGAAUAAGUGCUUUCUCUCAUCCACCCAAACCAGCUUCUACUUUUACUGCAUCCUGCAUAGUCAUAAUUCUGUUUUAUGACAUCAGUCUGUUUCCAUGGAUAUCACUGUCAUGCUACAGAUUCAGGCAAGAGAAAAGCUGUGAUGGAAAAUGUUCAAAGAUUUCUGGAAGAUUAGUUAACUCUGUAGCAAACAGAAGAAGGCUAAUCAAACACAUAUGUUGUUAUAAGAGUAACAUGCAAAACUUCUUUUUAGAUUCAAAGAAACUCCCAAAGCUGGAAGCAGGUUGAUGUGAUCCUCCAGAAUGUUACAAUUUCUGAGAUACCACAGAUGCCAGAAAAUUCUCCAGAGCAAUAGAACUGAGCCACCGGAAAUUAGUGCUGGAUAUAGCUUGCUGCAAAGUGAAAGAUGACAGAACCCUUCACAGAAAUUGUCUCAUAAAAUAUUCAGUUUACUGUUCUCGUCAGGGGUGCAAUCGGUACAAUCUCUCUCAGUUGCAGUAAGCAACAGAAGUGCUGAAAUCAAAAUUUUCACAUAUUUAAAAUCACUUAAAAGACUGAAAAUUCAAAAUUACCAACAUGCUUCUUCUGUUAGAAAAUAUGUUCAUUAUACCUGGGCUUUUGCUAGGAGGAAAAGAAGCAGUAGCAUGAUCUCUGUAGAUUAAAAGAAUUCCACAUUGACUGACAGUAAUAGAAAACUAAUUUCCUGUAAUUUAUGGACAGAAACAACAAGAUGGGAAAACAAAACAUAAAGAAGUGACAUGGUCUGCCUUCUCACUCAUGUGGAUCCAUCAGCGACAUAGCUUGAAACCUAGCUAGACAAUAACACUUAGAUACUACGGUGACAGACCCCAUAUAAAUACACUAGACAGAUAUCAGACCUCAUCUUGGAAUCUAAAUAUUCCAUCUGUCCUGCAAGAAAACAAUGGUUGUUUUUUCCACAUUAACUCAAUAUUAUUCUGAAUUAAC